GUCUUCCUGAGUGGGAGCAUCUACGGCUCCCGCCCUUUGGCUAGGUAGCUUCCGGUGUGAUUGUAAACAAUGGCGACCGGUGACAUUAACGUUAAGCUAGCGUAUUGUAUUGUGACAUUAACGUUAAACUAGCGUAUUGUAUUGUGACAUUAACGUUAAACUAGCGUAUUGUAUUGUAACAUUAACGUUAAACUAGCGUAUUGUAUUGUGACAUUUACAUUAAGCUAGCGUAUUGUAUUGUGAUAUUAGCGUUAAACUAGCGUAUUGUAUUGUGACUUUUACAUUAAGCUAGCGUAUUGUAUUGUGAUAUUAACGUUAAACUAGCGUAUUGUAUUGUGACAUUUACAUUAAGCUAGCGUAUUGUAGCGACAUGUUGGUGCUGGAACACUGAUACUCGGGUGUUACUGAAUGUGGCUGGACUGAGCACUGGUUUUGGCGUGAAGGUUGGUGAUAAAACUCAAAAAAGAGCGUCGGACUCUGUGACUCUAUCAGGACGAUAAAUACUGGUGGAAAACCCGGAAAUCAUGUACGAAGAAAAGCCGACCAAUCACAGCUCUGCAAUCCGCGUCGUCGUCCGCCGGAGGGGGCUGAACCAGUACCUUUGUUGGCCUGGAGGGGAACCACGGCGCCGCUGUAGGAGUCUCAUGUGGAUCCAUGCAAUGCACGGUCGCCCAUCAAAUUACCA